UAAAGACUAACAGGAUUCCCCUAGUAGCGGCGAGCGAAGCGGGAAGAGCUCAAAUUUAUAAUCUGGCACCUUCGGUGUCCGAGUUGUAAUCUCUAGAAGUGUUUUCCGCGUUGGACCGCACACAAGUCUGUUGGAAUACAGCGGCAUAGUGGUGAAACCCCCGUAUAUGGUGCGGACGCCCAGCGCUUUGUGAUACACUUUCAAUGAGUCGAGUUGUUUGGGAAUGCAGCUCAAAUUGGGUGGUAAAUUCCAUCUAAAGCUAAAUAUUGGCGAGAGACCGAUAGCGAACAAGUACCGUGAGGGAAAGAUGAAAAGCACUUUGGAAAGAGAGUUAACAGUACGUGAAAUUGUUGGAAGGGAAACGCUUGAAGUCAGACUUGCUUGCCGGAGCUUGCUUCGGUUUGCAGGCCAGCAUCAGUUUUCCGGGGUGGAUAAUGACGGUUUGAAGGUAGCAGUCUCGGCUGUGUUAUAGCUUUCCGUUGGAUACGCCCUGGGGGACUGAGGAACGCAGCGUGCUUUUUGCGAAAGACUCGUCUUUUUCACGCUUAGGAUGCUGGUGGAAUG
rnacentral:rRNA from 1 species